CAUCGCGCAUACAUAUAACAGCUCAGCCAUUGCGCGCGUUGAUGGCGAAGAUGGACACAAGAGCAGCACAUGCCUUUGUCAUCCUCCUGCUGGUCUCAAGUGAAGUGAUUUCCUUCGUGGUGACACAUGAAGUUGCAUCGCCUCUUCCACCGGAUGGUUUCUCAACUCUUCCAACUGAAAUAGCAGGGCAGGUCACAGGGGUGAACGACCAUGAAGAGAAGGCAAUAUUCGGGUCACCCAAUACCCUGAUCCGUCCACCACGGCUUCCUCCAUGUAUGUCACGAGCAUGUUAGCCGCAAAAAUUAUGUAACUGGCGGCUUACCAUUUGUUAGGUUGGCAACUUGUUGACGAUGUACUGCCGUGCAAACUUCCAUUUCGUUAUGAUGGCUGUACAUUUCAAUUUGCAACACAUGGUGAAUAAGAAUGAUCACUGGGAGGAAA